UACGUAGGGGGCAAGCGUUGUCCGGAUUUAUUGGGCGUAAAGCGCUCGCAGGCGGUCCCGUGCGUCGUGCGUGAAAGGCCCCGGCUCAACCGGGGGCGGUCGUGCGAUACGGCGGGACUGGAGGCCAGUAGGGGGACGCGGAAUUCCGGGUGUAGUGGUGGAAUGCGUAGAGAUCCGGAGGAACACCAGCGGCGAAGGCGGCGUCCUGGACUGGACCU
rnacentral:rRNA from 1 species